rnacentral:rRNA from 1 species
GCGCCCCGCAAGGGGAGCGGCAGACGGGAGAGUAACACGUGGGAACGUACCCUUCAGUUCGGAACAACCAAGGGAAACUUUGGCUAAUACCGAAUACGUCCGUAAGGAGAAAGAUUUAUCGCUGAAGGAUCGGCCCGCGUCUGAUUAGCUAGUUGGUGAGGUAAUGGCUCACCAAGGCGACGAUCAGUAGCUGGUCUGAGAGGAUGAUCAGCCUCACUGGGACUGAGACACGGCCCAGACUCCUACGGGAGGCAGCAGUGGGGAAUAUUGGACAAUGGGCGCAAGCCUGAUCCAGCCAUGCCGCGUGGAUGAUGAAGGCCCUAGGGUUGUAAAGUCCUUUCGGCGGGGAAGAUAAUGACGGUACCCGCAGAAGAAGCCCCGGCUAACUUCGUGCCAGCAGCCGCG